rnacentral:rRNA from 1 species
UACGUAGGGUGCGAGCGUUGUCCGGAAUUAUUGGGCGUAAAGAGCUCGUAGGCGGUUUGUUGCGUCUAUCGUGAAAACCUGCGGCUUAACUGUGGGCUUGCGGUGGAUACGGGCAGACUUGAGUUCGGUAGGGGAGACUGGAAUUCCUGGUGUAGCGGUGAAAUGCGCAGAUAUCAGGAGGAACACCGGUGGCGGAGGCGGGUCUCUGGGCCGAAAUUGACGCUGAGGAGCGAAAGCGUGGGGAGCAAACAGG